GAUCUAAAGCGAAAAAGGCGACGAAAAAGCUCUUUUUAGAGCUGUUUUGAAGGAAGCACGUGCACGGUGCCGGCGCCGGGGGCUGGCAGCUUGUGGGCGGGCUGCUGAGGCAGCAGGGGCGGUGCUGGCUCUUAUCUCUUAGGCCCGACCUUGACUGCUCACUGGGGAUUUAAAAGCAGCUCUUGGGAAGGCAGAAGCUAGCUUCUGCCCACAUACCAUUCCAGGUGAGAACGGGGUGUUACCCUCCUCUGACACCGGGGAGGGAGGUCAGAGUGUGAACACAGCCCACACUGCUCAUACAUUACCGCAGGAGCAGGUGUGGGUGGUGUGUCCUGUGGCAGGGUACGUCAGUGCUUUGUCCUUAUCUUUGUCCAGGAGAUUAGCUCUCCUACUGACAGACCUCGAGGCCGCAGGCUCAAUUAUGGUCUCUACCAGGCGGCGGGCUUGCCCCAAGAGGACUGUGGCGACCCAGACAGAGGGCCUGCCAAGAGACGUAGCGGUUCAAGUCUCCGGCUGUAGGGAGUGCCUGAGCCUGCUGCUGCCAGGGGAGAAUGGAAAGGAUGCCACUUGUGCAAGGUGUGAGCAGGUUGACGAGCUGCUCAGCCUGGUGGUGGAGCUUAGGGAAGAGGUAGGGAGGUUAAGAGCCAUCAGAGAGUGCGAGCGGGAGAUUGACUGGUGGUGUGACUCUCUGCGGGAAAGACGCAGAGACUGCAACCCCCAAAUGGUAGUGGACCCUCUCCCUUGCCGCAGUCAAACUGAGAGAGCUAACUUGAGGGCGGAGAUGGAUUGGCAGCAGGUCCCAGCUCGGCGAUGCAGGCGAUCCCCAUCCCGACCUACCUCGGUUCCCCAGGUACCUCUAUAUAAUAGGUUUGAAGCCCUGAAACUGGAGGGUGCGGUGGCUGAGGAUGAAGUGGGAGAGCUGCCUCCAAGCAUUCCCAAGGAGAGGCGUCCAACUCCACGCUUAAAGACUGCCUCCUCCAGUAAAGAAAGGAGGGUGAUUGUCAUAGGAGACUCCCUUCUAAAAGGAACUGAGGGCCCAAUAUGUCGGCCUGCCCCCACCCGUAGGGAGGUGUGCUGCCUCCCUGGGGCCCGGGUCAGGGAUAUUUCUAGGAAACUUCCUAGUUUGAUCCGCCCUUCUGAUUAUUAUCCCUUAUUGAUAGUUCAGGCUGGCAGUGAUGAGGUCACUGACGGAAGCCUUAGGACUAUGAAAAAUGACUUUAGGAGACUGGGGAGGUUAGUUGAAGGAGCAGGCGUACAGGUAGUAUUUGCCUGUAUUCCUACAAUGGCAGGGAAGGAUGCUGAGACCAUCAGAAGAACACACCUUAUAAACACGUGGCUGAAAGGCUGGUGCAAAAGCAAGAAUUUUGGGUUCUUUGAUCAUGGGGCGGUCUNNNNNNNNNNNNNNNNNNNNNNNNNNNNNNNNNNNNNNNNNNNNNNN
rnacentral:lncRNA from 1 species